UACGUAGGGACCGAGCGUUGUCCGGAAUCAUUGGGCGUAAAGAGCGUGUAGGCGGCCUUUUAAGUCCUGCGUGAAAUCCUGCGGCUCAACCGCAGACGGUCGUGGGAAACUGGAAGGCUAGAGUGCGGGAGAGGGAUGCGGAAUUCCAGGUGUAGCGGUGAAAUGCGUAGAUAUCUGGAGGAACACCGGUGGCGAAGGCGGCAUCCUGGACCGGCAUUGACGCUGAGGCGCGAAAGCCAGGGGAGCAAACGGG
rnacentral:rRNA from 1 species